rnacentral:lncRNA from 1 species
CCCCUGGGGUCCACCACGCCUUGGACUGUGAUGGAGUAGGAGGUUUUCUGGUUUCUCUCGGUGUGUCGUUUGUUGAAGUAGACGGCCACUCUUUCCUUGGGGGCGAUGAUCGGAAUGUGGGUGGUGUAGAUCGAGCCGCCCACGUUGGGGAUGCCGGAGAAGACCUCGAAUUCGUUUUUGAUUUGUUGCAUUCUCUUGUCGUCGGGCCAUUGCAGGAAUUUGGGCAUGAGCACGGUGCGGAUGGCGGUGCACACCUCCAGGACUAGUUUGUGGCAGGUGGAGAUGCCGAGCCCGAACCGCUUCGAGACCUCGCGGAGAGCCUCGCCGGUGGCCAGGCGCCAGAUGCAGACGGCCACGCGCUGCCGCACGGGGAUGGCCGUGCGCAGCAUUGUGUCCUUUUU